rnacentral:rRNA from 1 species
GAUGAACGCUGGCGGCGUGCCUAAUACAUGCAAGUCGAGCGAACGGACGAGAAGCUUGCUUCUCUGAUGUUAGCGGCGGACGGGUGAGUAACACGUGGAUAACCUACCUAUAAGACUGGGAUAACUUCGGGAAACCGGAGCUAAUACCGGAUAAUAUUUUGAACCGCAUGGUUCAAAAGUGAAAGACGGUCUUGCUGUCACUUAUAGAUGGAUCCGCGCUGCAUUAGCUAGUUGGUAAGGUAACGGCUUACCAAGGCAACGAUGCAUAGCCGACCUGAGAGGGUGAUCGGCCACACUGGAACUGAGACACGGUCCAGACUCCUACGGGAGGCAGCAGUAGGGAAUCUUCCGCAAUGGGCGAAAGCCUGACGGAGCAACGCCGCGCGAGUGAUGAAGGUCUUCGGAUCGUAAAACUCUGUUAGUAGGGAAGAACAUAUGUGUAAGUAACUGUGCACAUCUUGACGGUACCUAAUCAGAAAGCCACGGCUAACUACGUG